rnacentral:lncRNA from 1 species
GGGGAGAGACAAUGAUCGGAAAAUAAAUCCAGGCCUUUGUGCCAGCAGGGGCAACCCCCUCUGGGUCCCCUCCCAUUGUAUGUGAGCUCUGUUUUCAUUCUAUUAAAUCUUGCAACUGCACAUUCUUCUGGUCCGUGUUUCUGCCGGCUCAAACUGAGCUUUCGCUCUCCAUCCACCAUGGCUGAACGCCACAGUCGCAGACCUGCCGUUGACUUUCAUCCCUCUGGAUUUGGCAGGGUGUCCACUGAGCUUCUGAUUCAGCGAGGUGCUCAUUGCUGCUCCCAAUCAGGCUAGAGGCUCGCCAUUGUUCCUGCACCGGGAAGUGCCCGGGUUCAUCCUAAUUAGGCUGAACACUAGUCUCUGGGUUCCAUGGUUCUCUUCCGUGACCCACAGCUUCUAAUAGAGCUAUAACACUUACCGCAUGGCCCAAGGUUCCAUUCCUUGGAAUCCCUGAGGCCAAGAACCCCACGUCAGAGAACAAAAGGCUUGCUGCCAUCUUGGGAGCAGCCGGCCCCAUCUUGGGAGUGGCCCACCACCAUCUUGGGAGCUCUAAGAACAAAGACCUGCUGGUAACACUAUCUCUGGCCACCUAUCUCUGGCCUAUCUAUCUCUGGUUCCUAUCUCUGGCCAUGGCUUGAGCCAUUUGGGUGCAGUGAACAGGAAACUGUAAAGAGUGACAGCCCUGCUUCUACAAAAUGGAUGCCAAGGUGCUAUAUCAAUGAUCAUGGGCCCUAUUUCCCCAUUCUACUUUCUUUAUGAUGGUGAGCCAAGAACAGGACACACACAAUGCCAAUGCAUUUGUAGUUGAUACUACAUUUGUGGUCUCAUGGAAAGAGCACAGGAUGCAGAAUUAGUAUGCACAGAGGUUACACCUCCUCCCUCCUUAAAUAGCACUUAGUGUAAUUGAUGCCAAGUUAAUCCCUGUGCUGCCAAGAGAAGUGUCCAUGGGGUAGGAACCGCAUGCUGUUUUACCUGUGCUUAAAGAGGAAAGUGUCACGCGUCUCUGAAGAAACAAUGUUGACUGAAAAAUAGCGCCAAGUCUCAAACAAGAUCUUUGUGAAAAAUAAAGCAUGAAGCACAAAAUGAGAGAGUAAGUCUUAUUAUCUAAGAAUUAAAAUGAUGAUUAAGGUGAUUAUCUUUUUCUUCUUUAUUUUUAAAUAGUUUGCAAAAUUAUAACAAUAGGUAUGCAUUAUUUUAUAAUUAUUGACAACAUGGUGUUUUGUAAAACAAAGUGUAUUAUAUGAAGAAUAUUCUCAAUUUUAUUUGGAGCUAUAAAAAACUAUAAGACUAUGCAGAAGCACAAUAAAAUGCUAACAGUGAGUAUCUCUGAAUAGUGGGAUUAUUGCUAAAUUUUAUCCCACUCUCCUUUGCUUUUUAUUAUUGUCUAAAUUUCGUGCAGUGAGUAUAUGCUACCUUUGUAAUUUAAAAAUAAAGUUGGUUAAUUUUCU